rnacentral:lncRNA from 1 species
CGUUUAUAUGCCCUGAACUUCUCAGAGUUUAAACUUACACUAAUUUUCUUAACUACCCCUACCUCGAAUGAAAGGUUACCACAGAUUUCAAUGUAAACAAUAUACACGUGUUUAUUUACUGGUAACAUUCCCAAGUUAUGUCUCUGCGAUAUGGAACACAGAGAGCAUAACUGGGAACCAGUAUGUAAACAAAAUUAAUUUUCUAUGAAUAUUCUAUUACUCCCC